rnacentral:rRNA from 1 species
UACGAAGGGGGCUAGCGUUGCUCGGAAUUACUGGGCGUAAAGCGCACGUAGGCGGUCUUUUAAGUCGGGGGUGAAAUCCUGGAGCUCAACUCCAGAACUGCCUUCGAUACUGGAAGACUUGAGUCCGGGAGAGGUGAGUGGAACUGCGAGUGUAGAGGUGAAAUUCGUAGAUAUUCGGAAGAACACCAGUGGCGAAGGCGGCUCACUGGCUCGAUACUGACGCUGAGGUGCGAAAGCGUGGGGAGCAAACAGG